rnacentral:rRNA from 1 species
AAUCUGAAGCAAUGGGUGAAAGCCUGACGCAGAGACCCCGGGUGGGGGAUGAAUGCCUUCAGGUUGUAAACCCCUUUCACGAGGGAAGAAACUGACGGUACCUCGAGAAGAAGAACCGGCCAACUACGUUCAGCAGCCGCGGUAAUAGGUAGGGGGCGAGCGUUGUCUGGAUUUAUUGGGCGUAAAGGGAUAGUAGGCGGCUUGGCAAGUCGGCCGUGAAAACCCAGGGCUCAACCCUGGGACGCCGGUCGAUACUGCCAUGGCUAGGGCCCGGUAGAGGGGAAUGGAAUUCCCGGUGUAGCGGUGAAAUGCGCAGAUAUCGGGAGGAACACCAGUAGCGAAGGCGGUUCCCUGGGCCGGCACCGACGCUGAGGAGCGAAAGCAUGGGGAGCAAACAGGAUUAGAUACCUUGGUAGUCCACGCCGUA